GUCCCCGUAGCUCAGCAGGAUAGAGCAUCAGAUUCCUAAUCUGGAGGCCGUGAGUUCGAAUCUCGCCGGGGACACCA
rnacentral:tRNA from 1 species